rnacentral:rRNA from 1 species
UACAGAGGUCUCAAGCGUUGUUCGGAUUCAUUGGGCGUAAAGGGUGUGUAGGUGGCGCUGUAAGUCGGGUGUGAAAUCUCGGAGCUCAACUCCGAAAUUGCACCGGAUACUGCGUGACUCGAGGACUGUAGAGGAGAUCGGAAUUCACGGUGUAGCAGUGAAAUGCGUAGAUAUCGUGAGGAAGACCAGUUGCGAAGGCGGUUCUCUGGGCCUUACCUGACGCUGAGGAGCGAAAGCGUGGGGAGCGAACAGG